rnacentral:lncRNA from 1 species
UGGUGACUCUGUGUUUAACUUGGCAAAAAAUGUGUUUUUGUUUAGCGCAAUAUGCUGGGUGAGCACCAUGAACAUUCUUUCUCAAGAUAGAAGCAUCCAAGUGCUUUCAGUGAUGAACUCCUUUCAGCUGAAAGACCACAAAAGAAAAUGUCAGACUGCUUUAAAGAACAGAGGAAAAAGAUAUAUUCAGAAAGAAACAACAUUACAAUGUUGAUCCUCAGCCUUCUGAAGUCCUUGAUAAAAGUGCUCGAAGAGCUCCUCUUUUCUAGUGUCUCUGACCAUCUGAAAAACUUCAGUGCAUUGGCGCUCCUGCACCACUG